UGAGUAACCUGCCCUGGACUUUGGGAUAACCCUCGGAAACGGGGCUAAUACCGGAUAUGACAUGCUCUCGCAUGGGGGUGUGUGGAAAGUUUUUCGGUCUGGGAUGGGCUCGCGGCCUAUCAGCUUGUUGGUGGGGUGAUGGCCUACCAAGGCGACGACGGGUAGCCGGCCUGAGAGGGCGACCGGCCACACUGGGACUGAGACACGGCCCAGACUCCUACGGGAGGCA
rnacentral:rRNA from 1 species